rnacentral:rRNA from 1 species
CGUAGGCGGGCCAUCAAGUCCGGGGUGAAAUCUUUCGGCUUAACCGGAAAAGUGCCUUGGAUACUGGUGGUCUUGAGGGAGGUAGGGGCAUGUGGAACUUCCGGUGGAGCGGUGAAAUGCGUUGAUAUCGGAAGGAACUCCGGUGGCGAAAGCGACGUGCUGGACCUCUUCUGACGCUGAGGCGCGAAAGCUAGGGGAGCGAACGG